AAUGUCAUAAGUAAAAUAGUCUAUUUCUAUGUCAAUUGAUAGUUCUUGACCUCUGAAACUGUUCGCAGAUGGCGCAGGAGACCACAGCACUCUUGGAGGCUGAGCAAUCCCACAAUGCACUGCUGCUGAGAGUGAAUGAGAUGGAGAGAGUGGUGGAGAGGGAAAGAAGACAGGUGGAGGUUCUUCAAGCAGACUGUCACGCCUUACGUACUGAUGGACGGGAAAACAGGGCGGAGCUAAAGAAGAGGGAGGAGCAAAUUCUGGGCCUGGAAAGAGAGUGUUGGGAGCUUCGAGACCAAUCCGGAGUGAAAGAGACUCUGAUAUCACAGCUGACCAAAGAGAUCAAGAGUGUGAAGACGGCUCUGCAGAAACAGCAGCAGGAGAACAGCAGACUCAUCAGAGAUGGACGAGACCUCAGAGCAGCUGCAGAUCAAGUCCAGGUACACAAACACACACCCACACACUCCGUUGGCGUAAUGGUUUUAAUACUGUCCAAACUGCAAUUUCUGUCGCCAUACACCAACCCUACACCUAAACCUACCCUUUACAGAAGGACAAGGAUUUCAGAUAUUGCUAUCUUUGUGGGGACAUUUUGUCCCCAUAUUGUAGAGUUUACUAGGACCAAACACACACACACACACACACACACACACACACACACACACACUCACACACACACACACACAUGUGAUCUAUUUAGCAUUAUAUAA
rnacentral:lncRNA from 1 species